GAUGGCUGUCUGAUGGAGUUUUAACAUUUGAACCACUGAUACUUUCAAAUUUUGCUGGCUACUAAAAGGCUUAUUGGGUAAAAUUGAGCUUGAAACACAGCUAGACAACCGAGCUAAAUGGCCAAGUAUAGAAUGAAUGGAAAAACAGAAGUUUCUCUUGCUGAAAAAAUACGUUUUUGGUCGUAUCGCGUAAUCCCAGGAAUGGUUGUCGGAGACACGUGUAAUCAUUAUGGU